rnacentral:lncRNA from 1 species
CCCUACAGGCUCCGGGAGACGCCCCGGCGUGGGAGGCUUCCCAGUGCCGGCCACGAGACCUGGACACCCGGGUCCGGAGGAAGACAGGCGGCUCAGCCGGCGCCACUGGGGCUCCGGAGAGGGCGCGAAGGCGGGGCGGGGAGCAGGGGGCGUGGUCAGAGGCUCUCGCCUCGUGGGCGGGGCGCGGCAAGGGCGGGGCCUGAGCAGGGAGGGCGGGUAGUGGAGGCGGGGCUAGCGGUGGGGCGGGGCCCGGAGGCGCGCGCGGCUCGGGCUGGGAGGAGGGCCGGGGGCGCGGAGCGAGCAGAAGGGCGCGCGGCGCGCGAGUCUGGGCUCAGAGCGCGCCGAGCUCGGGAGCCCGAGAAGGGAGAGAGCCUCAAGGGGGUUGAGCCGGGAACGCCGAGAGCGCACGAGCCUUGCAGACUGCAGGCCGGAGAAGCGGGUGCCACCGCCGCCGCCGUCACCGCCGGCCACCAAGGGCCGAACUCGUGCCCGGAGGGCUUAUGCGCCGCCGGGUCCCGGGAUCCCGCCCGCGGUCGGGGCAGCGCUCCUCCCGCGCCCCGGCCCGCGCGGCCGGAGCUGCGCGCCUGUAGGUACGGCCUGCUUGUCCUUAGCUCCUGUCCCCAUGGUUCUUUCUCUACCCCACCCGGGUGCCCGGCUGUCCCUGAAGGCGGGCGUGUGUGUGGUGUGUGUGUGUGCGUGCAUGUGUGUGUAUGUGAGUGUGUUGUGUGUAUGCGUGUGUGGUAUGUGUAUGCAUGUGUGUGUGUGUGUGUGUGUGUUGUGUGUAUGCGUGUGGUGUGUGUGUGUGUGUGUGUGUGUGUGUGUGUGUGGUGUGCUCACCCCCCCAGGGCCGCCCGCGCCCGGGUCCGAGCGUGUCGUCUUUGUGUGCACCGGUGGGAGGGAGGACGCGCGACCGAGGGGAUGAGCCCCACUGGGAUCGGAUCGGGGACCCAAAGCCCAAGCGAGGUGGACAGUGACGGGAAGCCGGGGCGGGGGAAGCAGCUACCUCCGGAGCAGCUGAGUCCUGUCCCCUCCGCGAACGCUGGCCGGUUGGAGGGACGAGCGCAGCUGGUCCCUACAGGAAGGGAUCUGAGGCUGGGGGAGGGGACGCUAAGGUCUCUUCCCGGGUCUAGGAGGAGGUGGAUCAACCCACUGUGA